rnacentral:rRNA from 1 species
UUCCCCUAGUAACUGCGAGUGAAGCGGGAAAAGCUCAAAUUUAAAAUCUGGCAGCCUUUGGUUGUCCGAGUUGUAAUCUAGAGAAGUGUUAUCCGCGCUGGACCGUGUACAAGUCUCCUGGAAUGGAGCGUCAUAGAGGGUGAGAAUCCCGUCUUUGACACGGACUGCCAGGGCUUUGUGAUGCGCUCUCAAAGAGUCGAGUUGUUUGGGAAUGCAGCUCAAAAUGGGUGGUAAAUUCCAUCUAAAGCUAAAUAUUGGCGAGAGACCGAUAGCGAACAAGUACCGUGAGGGAAAGAUGAAAAGAACUUUGGAAAGAGAGUUAAACAGUACGUGAAAUUGCUGAAAGGGAAACGCUUGAAGUCAGUCGCGUUGUCCAGGGAUCAACCUUGCUUUUGCUUGGUGCACUUUCUGGUUGACGGGUCAGCAUCAAUUUUGACUAUUGGAAAAAGAUUAGGGGAAUGUGGCAUCUUUGGAUGUGUUAUAGCCCUUAGUUGCAUACAAUGGUUGGGAUUGAGGAACUCAGCACGCCGCAAGGCCGGGUUUUUAACCACGUACGUGCUUAGGAUGCUGGCAUAAUGGCUUUAAUCGACCCGUCUUGAAACACGGACCAAGGAGUCUAACAUGCCUGCGAGUGUUUGGGUGGAAAACCCGAGCGCGUAAUGAAAGUGAAAGUUGAGAUCCCUGUCGUGGGGAGCAUCGACGCCCGGACCAGACCUUUUGUGACGGUUCCGCGGUAGAGCAUGUAUGUUGGGACCCGAAAGAUGGUGAACUAUGCCUGAAUAGGGUGAAGCCAGAGGAAACUCUGGUGGAGGCUCGUAGCGAUUCUGACGUGCAAAUCGAUCGUCAAAUUUGGGUAUAGGGGCGAAAGACU